AUUGAACGCUGGCGGCAGGCCUAACACAUGCAAGUCGAGCGGAUGAAGGGAGCUUGCUCCUGGAUUCAGCGGCGGACGGGUGAGUAAUGCCUAGGAAUCUGCCUGGUAGUGGGGGAUAACGUCCGGAAACGGGCGCUAAUACCGCAUACGUCCUGAGGGAGAAAGUGGGGGAUCUUCGGACCUCACGCUAUCAGAUGAGCCUAGGUCGGAUUAGCUAGUUGGUGGGGUAAAGGCCUACCAAGGCGACGAUCCGUAACUGGUCUGAGAGGAUGAUCAGUCACACUGGAACUGAGACACGGUCCAGACUCCUACGGGAGGCAGCGGUGGGGAAUAUUGGACGAUGGGCGAAAGCCUGAUCCAGCCAUGCCGCGUGUGUGAAGAAGGUCUUCGGAUUGUAAAGCACUUUAAGUUGGGAGGAAGGGCAGUAAGUUAAUACCUUGCUGUUUUGACGGUACCAGCAGAAUAAGCACCGGCUAACUUCGUG
rnacentral:rRNA from 1 species